UACGAAGGGGGCGAGCGUUGUUCGGAUUUACUGGGCGUAAAGGGCGCGCAGGCGGCGGACCAAGUCAGGCGUGAAAGCCCCGGGCUCAACCUGGGAAUGGCGCUUGGGACUGGUUUGCUGGAGUUCGGGAGAGGAGCAUGGAAUUCCCAGUGUAGAGGUGAAAUUCGUAGAUAUUGGGAAGAACACCGGUGGCGAAGGCGGCGCUCUGGACCGAUACUGACGCUGAGGCGCGAAAGCGUGGGGAGCAAAC
rnacentral:rRNA from 1 species